rnacentral:rRNA from 1 species
UACGGAGGGUGCAAGCGUUGUCCGGAUUCAUUGGGUUUAAAGGGUGCGUAGGCGGUCUUGUAAGUCAGUGGUGAAAUCUCAGAGCUCAACUCUGAAUGUGCCAAUGAUACUGCAGGACUUGAGAGCAGUCGAGGUAGCUGGAAUGUGUAGUGUAGCGGUGAAAUGCAUAGAGAUUACACAGAACACCAAUUGCGAAGACAAGUUACUAGACUGUUUCAGACGCUGAUGCACGAAAGUGUGGGUAGCGAACAGG